CCUACGGGUGGCAGCAGUAGGGAAUCUUCCGCAAUGGACGAAAGUCUGACGGAGCAACGCCGCGUGAGCGAAGAAGGUCUUCGGAUCGUAAAGCUCUGUUGUUAGGGAAGAACAAGUACGGGAGGAAAUGACCGUACCUUGACGGUACCUAACGAGGAAGCCACGGCUAACUACGUGCCAGCAGCCGCGGUAAUACGUAGGUGGCAAGCGUUGUCCGGAAUUAUUGGGCGUAAAGCGCGCGCAGGCGGUCUUUUAAGUCUGAUGUGAAAUCUUGCGGCUCAACCGCAAGCGGUCAUUGGAAAGGGGGAGGCUUGGGUGCAGAAGAGGAAAGCGGAAUUCCAGGUGUAGCGGUGAAAUGCGUGGGGAGGUGGGGGAACACGAGGGGCGAAGGCGGCUUUCUGGUCUGAAACUGACGCUGAGGCGCGAAAGCGUGGGGAGCGAACAGGAUUAGAUACCCUUGUAGUC
rnacentral:rRNA from 1 species